UUCCAGUUAGAUAUGCUGUUGCAAUGAACAACAACUUUCCACUCCUACUGUCUACUGUGUGAGAAUUUGUACAAGCUCAAGCUGGUCCAUUAAUGGAGAUUGUUGUGGCCGAGAGGACUUCGAGUGUGUGAGGUGUAGUUUAGUGCAGCUCCGGCCGGUCUCACUUGAUCAUGUUCAUGUAGCAGCAGCAGAUGCAGUAGUACCAAUAGCACCUGUGCCAGCCAGAGAGAUGUACGUAGUACUCCUAUGUAGCUAGCUCUGUCCCAUUUUUGUACGUAGUUCUGGUGAGCUAUUUAUUUAUCUGUAAGAGUACAAUUAGGGUACUGAUAUUAAAGCUUAGUAGGUGCUUUGUAUUUAAGAGUAGUAN
rnacentral:lncRNA from 1 species